rnacentral:rRNA from 1 species
AGAGUUUGAUCCUGGCUCAGAUUGAACGCUGGCGGCAUGCCUUACACAUGCAAGUCGAACGGCAGCACGGGUGCUUGCACCUGGUGGCGAGUGGCGAACGGGUGAGUAAUACAUCGGAACGUACCUUAUCGUGGGGGAUAACGCAGCGAAAGCUGUGCUAAUACCGCAUACGCCCUGAGGGGGAAAGCGGGGGAUCGAAAGACCUCGCGCGAUUAGAGCGGCCGAUGCCUGAUUAGCUUGUUGGUGGGGUAAAAGCCCACCAAGGCGACGAUCAGUAGCUGGUCUGAGAGGACGAUCAGCCACACUGGGACUGAGACACGGCCCAGACUCCUACGGGAGGCAGCAGUGGGGAAUUUUGGACAAUGGGGGAAACCCUGAUCCAGCAAUGCCGCGUGAGUGAAGAAGGCCUUCGGGUUGUAAAGCUCUUUUGUCAGGGAAGAAACACCGGCUCUAACACAGUCCGGGAAUGACGGUACCUGAAGAAUAAGCACCGGCUAACUACGUGCCAGCAGCCGCGGUAAUACGUAGGGUGCGAGCGUUAAUCGGAAUUACUGGGCGUAAAGCGUGCGCAGGCGGUUAUACAAGACAGGCGUGAAAUCCCCGGGCUUAACCUGGGAAUGGCGCCUGUGACUGUAUAGCUAGAGUGUGUCAGAGGGGGGUAGAAUUCCACGUGUAGCAGUGAAAUGCGUAGAUAUGUGGAGGAAUACCAAUGGCGAAGGCAGCCCCCUGGGAUAACACUGACGCUCAUGCACGAAAGCGUGGGGAGCAAACAGGAUUAGAUACCCUGGUAGUCCACGCCCUAAACGAUGCUGACUAGUUGUUCGGGAUUUACAUCCUGAGUAACGUAGCUAACGCGUGAAGUCAGCCGCCUGGGGAGUACGGUCGCAAGAUUAAAACUCAAAGGAAUUGACGG